AAUGUAUGACGCCGUUGACUUUUUAUCCAACGUUUGACCAUUCGUUUUAUUAAAAACUUUAUGUAAUUAUCAUUUAUUUUAUUGUGACUUGAUUAAUCAUCAAAUGUUCUUUAAGUAUGAUAUAAAUAUUUUCAUAUUAAAUUUUAAAUAAAACGAAUGGUCAAACGUUGGUUAAGAAGUCAACGGCGUCAUACAUU
rnacentral:pre_miRNA from 1 species